UACGGAGGGUGCAAGCGUUAUCCGGAUUCACUGGGCUUAAAGGGAGCGUAGGCGGGCAGGUAAGUCAGUGGUGAAAUCUUCGAGCUUAACUCGGAAACUGCCGUUGAUACUAUCUGUCUUGAAUACCGUGGAGAUGAGCGGAAUAUGUCAUGUAGCGGUGAAAUGCUUAGAUAUGACAUAGAACACCAAUUGCGAAGGCAGCUCGUUACACGAAUAUUGACUCUGAGGCUCGAAAGUGUGGGGAUCAAACAGG
rnacentral:rRNA from 1 species